UUAGUAACGGCGAGUGAAGCGGCAACAGCUCAAAUUUGAAAGCUGGCUCCUUUGGAGUCCGCGUUGUAAUUUGUAGAGGAUGAUUCGGCAAGGGCUCCCGCCUAAGUCUCCUGGAACGGAGCGUCAUAGAGGGUGAGAAUCCCGUAUGCGGUGGGCUGCCUAAGCCAUGUGAAUCUCCUUCGACGAGUCGAGUUGUUUGGGAAUGCAGCUCUAAAUGGGAGGUAAAUUUCUUCUAAAGCUAAAUACCGGCCAGAGACCGAUAGCGCACAAGUAGAGUGAUCGAAAGAUGAAAAGCACUUUGGAAAGAGAGUUAAAAAGUACGUGAAAUUGUUGAAAGGGAAGCGCUUGCAGCCAGACUUGUCCGCAGUUGCUCAGCCGGUCUCCUGACCGGUGUACUCUUCUGCGGCCAGGCCAGCAUCAGUUCGGGCGGUCGGAUAAAGACCUCGGGAAUGUAGCUCCUCUCGGGGAGUGUUAUAGCCCGGGGUGGAAUGCGGCCAGCCUGGACUGAGGAUCUCGCUUCGGCUAGGAUGCUGGCGUAAUGGCUGUAAGCGGCCCGUCUUGAAACACGGACCAAGGAGUCUAACAUCUAUGCGAGUGUUUGGGUGUCAAACCCAUGCGCGUAAUGAAAGUGAACGGAGGUGGGAACCCCCUCACGGGUGCACCAUCGACCGAUCCUGAUGUCUUCGGAUGGAUUUGAGUAAGAGCAUAGCUGUUGGGACCCGAAAGAUGGUGAACUAUGCCUGAAUAGGGUGAAGCCAGAGGAAACUCUGGUGGAGGCUCGCAGCGGUUCUGACGUGCAAAUCGAUCGUCAAAUUUGGGUAUAGGGGCGAAAGACUA
rnacentral:rRNA from 1 species